GGUUAAGCGACUAAGCGUACACGGUGGAUGCCCUGGCAGUCAGAGGCGAUGAAGGACGUGCUAAUCUGCGAUAAGCGUCGGUAAGGUGAUAUGAACCGUUAUAACCGGCGAUUUCCGAAUGGGGAAACCCAGUGUGUUUCGACACACUAUCAUUAACUGAAUCCAUAGGUUAAUGAGGCGAACCGGGGGAACUGAAACAUCUAAGUACCCCGAGGAAAAGAAAUCAACCGAGAUUCCCCCAGUAGCGGCGAGCGAACGGGGAGCAGCCCAGAGCCUGAAUCAGUGUGUGUGUUAGUGGAAGCGUCUGGAAAGGCGCGCGAUACAGGGUGACAGCCCCGUACACAAAAAUGCACAUGCUGUGAGCUCGAUGAGUAGGGCGGGACACGUGGUAUCCUGUCUGAAUAUGGGGGGACCAUCCUCCAAGGCUAAAUACUCCUGACUGACCGAUAGUGAACCAGUACCGUGAGGGAAAGGCGAAAAGAACCCCGGCGAGGGGAGUGAAAAAGAACCUGAAACCGUGUACGUACA
rnacentral:rRNA from 1 species